ensembl:lncRNA
GAAGUAAACAAGAUAAGAAGGCGAAGGAAUGAGAAAACAAUAGGAGCCAAAUAAGGAAUUGUGGUAAGGGGUUAAGAUCCAGUACGGACAAAUCAGGACAGGGCACGAUAGCUUAAGUAAAGGUAUAUAAGCUGUGCUUAGUAGUGAGUAGACGCCAUUUUACUGCUCAUCAUAUUGUUGUGCGUCUGCAGUCAUUUAGCCCUGAUCAGGUAAUUGGCCAGUGUGCACAAGAGAGCUAACACAGGAGGCUAACAUCACAGUUGCAGAAGGCAACAAAUGGUGCCCCGUGUGAGGCAGAAGAUUGUGUUUGAUGCCCUUUGUGCAAAUACCAGAGCUGGGGUGAUGACAGCCUGACUAGCCCGCAGCGGCAGGGAGCCCUGCAGAAGACCGAGGCGAUGGCGGUAUUGCGCACAAGUGUAGCCUGCAGCACGGAAACCUGAGGUGAUGGCAGGGCGCUUGCAGAAGACUGAGGUGAUGGUGGUAUUGAUUGCAAGUGUAGCCUGCAGACGAUUGGGGUGAUGCCCUGCAGAAGAUCGUGGUGACGACGAUAGUGCCGGCUGGCAAGUAGAACCUGUGUUGCGGUGUGGUCUGGGGAGGAUGACAGGACGCCCACGGAGACCCAUGGUGACGGCGGUCUCCCGAGGUGACAGCAAAGAGUUGACCAUGGAACAUGUUCUUAAGAAAGUGAAAAGCAGCAAGUGAAACAAUGCAUUGUACAAAAGAAGCUACUGAGACAAACAUUUAAGAUCUUAUCAAACACAGAUCUAAGGCUUAUUCUCGGUGAUGCAUUGAGACUACAAGCAGUGACAGAGACUGAACUAGGCUGACCACUGUUCUGGAGCCUACAGUGAGGAUCCACAGCAAAGAUGUGGAGCUUGCAAAUCACAUGGACACAGAGAGACUUCUGUGAGAAAUUGAACAGAUCAGUCAAAUUCCAGAGAUUAUGGAAAGAGUCUUAAUACAGAGAGGGGAAAAAAAAAAAAAAGGCACCAAAACAAACAAACAAGCGAACAAACAAGAAAAACAAACAAACAAACAAACAACAACAACAGCAACAAAACAAUUCAGUGCCUGAAAUCAGUCAAAAGGGGCAGAUUGUGUAUAGUGCUUGUAAAAAUGCUUGUAAAAGUCUUAUAUGGCCACUGCAAUAUUUCUUCAUUAAAAAAGAAAUACUAUUGUUCAUAUUCUAAUAAGGAAUGGUGAUUUUUGAUUUAAAAUCUCUGUUAGUCAUUUAUGGGGAGCCAAAUAUUUGGGGGGGGGGGGGGGGGGAAGUGGUCAUUGCAUCAUAUGCCAGUUUGUAAGAGGUUGCUUCAUAUCCAUGUAAGGAAAAUGUAAAGAGAUGUUCUUAUCAGUAGACAACCAUUCCACAAGAACAGACUUAAUAAAUUAAUCUCAUAAUAUUCUUUUGAUAACUUUCACAAAUUUUUACAAAUUUCAAAAUGUUCUAUGUGAGAUAAAUAGCACUGUACAAUUUGGUAAUUUAUGAACUUCUUUCUGAGUAUAAAGUUUAUGCCUAUAUUCUGAUAUUUAAUCUUGAUUUUGUG